rnacentral:rRNA from 1 species
GACGAACGCUGGCGGCGUGCUUAACACAUGCAAGUCGAACGAAGCUUGAUUGCGGAUUCUUCGGAUGAAGUAUGAUAUGACUGAGUGGCGGACGGGUGAGUAACGCGUGAGUAACCUGCCCUUCAGAGGGGGAUAGCGUUUGGAAACGAACGGUAAUACCGCAUAAUGUAUUUUGACCGCAUGAUCGAAAUACCAAAGAUUUAUCGCUGAAGGAUGGACUCGCGUCUGAUUAGGUAGUUGGUGGGGUAACGGCCUACCAAGCCGACGAUCAGUAGCCGGACUGAGAGGUUGAUCGGCCACAUUGGGACUGAGACACGGCCCAGACUCCUACGGGAGGCAGCAGUGGGGAAGAUUGCACAAUGGGCGCAAGCCUGAUGCAGCAACGCCGCGUGAAGGAAGACGGUUUUCGGAUUGUAAACUUCUGUUCUUAGGGAAGAAUAAUGACGGUAGCUAAGGAGCAAGCCACGGCUAACUACGUG